UGAAGUCUUGUCAAGGAUUUUUUCUGCAAGAAAUCCGUGAUUUGAACCAGACUGACCAAUGAGCUUCGGAGUUACGUAUGUGAGCACAUCUAGAAGGUGUGUUUAACCAUUACAAGGAGAAUUUGUUUACUCCAUCAUUCGUUAGCAUUCCUACUAGAGCAGAUGCACUAGACAAGUUAUCUUGUUGGCACAUCAUGGAAAUGACCAUUUCCCACACUUCUUUACUAAUACAAUUUACAGAGGCCAUAUUAUCCAGAGCUCUCAGUA
rnacentral:misc_RNA from 1 species